rnacentral:lncRNA from 1 species
GAGGCUAAACAAUAAGAUGAACUCAAAUUUAAAUAUUUAUCAAACUAAACUAAUACAAACUAUGUACGUUGGGUUAAAUAUUUUUUCUUUAUCUAUAAAAUUCUAAGGGUUUCGCAUCAACAAAAAAAAGUAUUUGAUUUGCGGAUUCAAGACGUUGCCACCCGAUUGCAUUCAAGGAAGAAAUAGCGUCAAUCCUUGCAUUCAAGAAUUUAAAUGCACCAUGUAAAUUCAAAAGAAACAACAAUAAGCACAAAAAAGGAUGAGCAAACCCAAGAAAAACUAUAAUACAAAGAUGCAAGUUUAAUUUGUAAAAAUAUUAAUAAAAUUUUAUGAAGAAAAAAUAAUAUCUUGAUAAUUCUUCUACACAAAUUUUUAACAAAUAACAAAAUGUAAAUACUCAAAGCAACAACACAAGGACACAAACCUGUAAACUUUUUAGAAAGCUUCUUAAAAAAUCUUCAUCCCAACAUUACAUCCUUGUAAUUUUCAAGUUUUCACGCAAUAUUUAUAUAUAAAAUAUAAGACACAAUAUUUAUCAAAUUAUUGGAUAACCCAUAAAAGUUAACCCAUAAUCUAAGUCGCAUAUAUAUAAGAAGAUUUAAAAACCUUAAAAUAUAGAGAUAUGAAUAUAAUUCGGAAGAAAGAAGGCACUGAUCUAACAAUGGUUGAAGAAGAAAAUAAGAAAGCGGGAGGAGGGAGGAGGGAGAGGCGGCUGAGAGGGAGAGGAUUUGAGGUGGAAAUUAGGUUUUGGUUUGGC